rnacentral:lncRNA from 1 species
GGAAGCAGUGGUAUGUAGUGGGGAAGGGAGGGUUCCGUAUACUUGAGGAACUUUCAAUUGAAAAUUGUACCAAGUUGCCUGAAAAUUUUUCUUUUUCUGACAUAAUUAUCUCUUUGUGAUUGUAAUUUUUUACGAUCUAAGCUGGGGCACUGGCCAUGAUGAGCUCCCGAACCUAUGAAGGCUUGAGAAAACUCCUUAAUUUGAAAUUGCAAUUUUGCCUAUACAAAAGAGGGCUUGGAGAAUUUUGGGGGAAUAUAUUGAGUUCUUUCGUACUCUUUCAUUCACUAACUUCUCUAUUAUUCUUUGCUUUCUUUAUUUUGAUCUCCGACGAACUUCUAUCGCUCUCACCAUUUUUGUCCCGACACCCGAAGUAGAAGUUCGUGGUGAAGAACCUCUUCGACUCGCCGUCUCUGUUCGCUGCUCCGAAAAAGGUAACCUCUUUUUCAUUUUAAGCGCAGUAUUUUUCAUUUAUGUUGUAACCUCUAAGCCUCACCCUCAUUUUUUUCUUCUUCUUUAAUUUCGUUUUCUAUUAUUCUUGCCAUUUGGUUGUUGUUUGCCUUUCAUAUAGCUAUGUUAUGGUCAGAUUUUAUUCGUUGCUUUGGCUGACAUUAUGAGAUGAAAUGGGAACAUUCCAUGGUGUUACCGUCUUUCUCUUUUUGUCUUUGGAUACUUUCAC